rnacentral:lncRNA from 1 species
GGGAGAGUCGACCAGGUUAAUACAAGGUAGGGUAUCACAAAAGGGUUGGUUAGGGUGGGGAGGAGUAGGCUGGCAGUAGAAUGGUGGGAGAGUUGGGGGUAGUAGGAAGGGGGAGUAGCCUGCUGCAGAGGCAAAGCCUCAUGGAAAACCUCUACUAGGGCAGUGCACCUGUGGCUUUGCAGGGUUGAGCCCCUGCAGCUGCUUUCAUGGGCUGGGUUGGUGUUGAGGUUUGCAAAAGCCUGUAGCUUUUGCACAGAGGGUGUGAGCUGCUGGUGGGUCUGUGAAUCUGGGGUCUGGAGGGUGGUGGUCAUCUCCGUGGGGGCUCCAAGCCCAUAUUUUCCUUCCACACUGCCCUAGUAGAGGUUUUCCAAGAGGCUCUGCCUGUACAGCAGGCUUCUGUUUGGAAACAGUGGGAGUUGGGGGUGGGUGUUUGUUCCUUCAUCAAUGUUUAAGCACCACCUUCAUGAUGCUGACCUUGUAAUAGUGAGUUCACAUAAGAUUUGGUUGUAUAAUAGGGUGUGGCUCUCUUUCCUCUCUGUCUUGUGCCUACUCCUGCCACAUGAAUCAUCUCAUUGCCCCUUGACAUUCUGGUAUGAUUGGGAGGCUUCCUGAGUCCUCCCAGAUUCAGAAACCACUGUGUUUCCUUACAGCCUGCAGAAUCAUGAGCCAAUUAAACCUCUUUUCUUUAUGAUCAUAGAGAAAAUUAGUAGUGCAAAGUGGAACUAUUAAAUGUCAUUGUCUUGGCAAUCAUCACUCAGCUUCUUUUCAUUCAAGUAUGUGAAGGCUUCAUGAAUUUUCCCCCUGAAAAUGGACUUGUCUUCCUUUACCACAUUGCCAGGCUGUGGCAAAGAUAGUGAUAAUGUAGAUGCAGGUUCAGAAGGGAGUAGCGGACAGAGGUCAGAAGAGUUUGGAGGGCUUCAAAGACAAGAAGAUGAAAGAAAGUUUGGAUCUUUGUAAAGAAUUGUUAAACACUUGUGAUCAGAAGGCUCACAGGAAAAUGGUCAGUGAAAGCCCGACUUAGAAGGUCUCAGAUGAAAAUGAAGCACUUACUGGGAACGGAAGUCAAAGUUACUUUUGUUUCCUUAGCAAAGAACGUGUCUGAACAGUGACCUUGCCCUGGAGAUCUGUGAAACUUUGAACUUGAGGGUGAUGAUUUACUGAGUAUCUGAUGGAAUGAUCUGAGCAGCAAAGCUCAAGAGGUGUCCUGUCUCCAUCGAGCAGCCUGUGCUCUUAUGUGUGAUGGAGGAAAUGACCUCUGGAUGGGACUUACAUUAAAUGAGUCCGAACUCUUAUAGUAAAUGAGAAACAGAACUCAAAAGUUUGGAAAAUUUGCAGCCUGGCCAUGUGGUCAAAAAGAAAAGCUGAUUUUCAGGGGGAAAAUUGAAGAAGGCUUCAGAAACUUGCAUGAAAAGGAGCCCAGUGCUAAUAUACAAGAGAAUAGGGAAAAAGCCUUGAAGGCAUUUCAGAGACCUUUGCAGCAGCCCUUGCUGUUACAGGCCCUGGGGCCUAGGAGAGAAGAAUGGUUUCCUGGGCCAGUUCCAUGACCCCCCUCUGUGUGCAGCCUCAGGACACUGCUGCCUGCAUCCCUGUGGCUCCAGCUCCAGGUCCAUCUCCAGCCAUGAUUGAAAGAUGCGCAGGUACAGCUUGGGUCACUGCUAUAGAGGGUGCCGGCUAGAAGCCUUGGUAAGUUCCUCAUAGUGUUAAGCCACUGGUGGACGGAGCAUGAGACUAGAGGCUUGGGAACCUCUCUAUAGAUUUUGGAAGAUGUAUGGAAAUGCCUGGGUGUCCAGGCAAAAACAUCCCAAAAAGGCAGAGCCUUAUAUGAAACUUCUACUAGGGCAGUGCAGAAGGAAAGUAUGGGGUUGGAGCCCCCACACUGGAGGCCACCAUCAUGCAGACCCCAGAUUCAUAGACCCCCCAGCAACUUGUGUUCUUAGUGGGGAAUAGUCACAGGCACUCAACACCAGCCAAGCCCAUGAGGGCAGCCAUGGGGCAUAAACCCUGCAAAGACACAGGUGCCAAGCUGCCCAAGGCCUUGGGAGCACAGCCCUCACACCCCUGUGCCCUGGAUGUGGGACAGGGUUUCAAAAAGGUUGAUUUUGGAGCUGUAGGAUGGAAUGACUGGCCUUCUGGGUUUAGAGUUUCAUGGGGCCGGUAAGUCCUAUCUGUGUUUUGUUUUUUUCCGGCAACAUUCUUCCUUUUGGCUGGGAAUGCUUACCCAAUGCCUGUACAAGCAUUGUACCUUGGAAGUAGUUAACUUGCUUUAUAUUUCAGAGGCUCAUGGGCCUAAGAAACUGUAGCCUUGUGUCAGAUGAGACUUUAAGCUUUGAACAUUUGUAUAAAUGCUGUAAUGAUAUAAGAUUUUGGGGGACUGUAGGGAAGGCAUCAUUGUAUUUUGCAAUGUGAGAAGGACAUGAGAUUUGGGGAGCCAAGGACAGAAUAAUAAAAUUCAGCUCUGUGUCUCUACCAAAACUCAUGUGGAAUUGUAAUCGGAAUGUUAAAGGUGGGGCCUGGUGGAAGGUGAUUUAAUCACGGUGGAGAGUGGGUGUUGGAAGAUGGGGCAUAGGGAGAAUGGGGGAUUUAUGGUGCAGGUGAGGAGUGAAAAUUGGGGGUGGGGGGCGGAUCCUUCACAAAUGAGUAAACACUCUCCUUAUUGCUGUCCUUGUGAUAGUGAGUUCUCUUCAUGACUUUGGAGCUGUAAGAUUGAAUGGAUACUGGCCUUCUGGGUUUUGGACUUGUAUUGGGCCUGUGGUCCCAUUUGUGUUUCCUUCCUGGGAAAUUUCUUCCCUUUGGAUUGAAAAAGCUUACCCAAAGCCAGUACCAUUAUUGUACCUUGAAAGAAAAGAACAUCCUUUUAAAUUCAGGGACUUAUAUGCAAAAGGUACUGUAGACUUGUCUCAGAUGAGAUGUUGAUUUUUUUUACAUUUGAGUUAAUGUUGGAAUGAGUUAAGACUUUUGGAAACUUUUGAAAAGGCAUGAAUAUAUUUUGCUCUGUGAGAAGGACAUGAGACUGUGGGGAUCAGGGUCAGAAUAAUAUGAUUUGGUUGUGUUUCUUUACCAAAACUCAUGUGAAUUGUAAUCCUUAAUGUUGGAAGUGGGGCUUGGCUGGAGGUGAUUUAAUCAUGGAUGGG